UUCAAUUUUAAUUACACUUACAGACCUUUGUCAACGGAAGUCUUUCACAAGAAAGUCACUUCUUUAGUGUGGACAUGAAAGCUCCAUCAGGGAAAUGACCAAUAACCCAAAGUCCAUCUUUAUGUAUAUGUGAACACAUAUAUAUAUAUCUUGAACUCAUUGAGUAAAAAAUAUGUAAUUUGUGUAAGAUUAUCAUAAAAGGUUAACUUUGCCUUCUUCUGAAGGCUAUUUACCAAUUCUUUUUUUCCAAGGUAAUAUGAACUAAGUAUCAAAAAGGACGUAUAUUUUCGACUAUAGAGGCCAAUUUCUUAAAUAAACAAUAUAUAUAUAAACAAGCUUUAUUUAUGCCAGCUUCAGUUAGCUUGCGAGCUCGUUCUUACCUGGAAAAGUUUAGCAAAACAGUUAUCUCUUAAUGAAAAUUUGUACAUAAGAUUUAUACCAGAAACAAAACAGUCCUCUUAUUUAGUGCUUAAAAAGGGGAUUAUUACUUUUUAAGUGCUGCUAAGAUACGCCUCGUACACCGGUUGUUUUUUUAUUUCUAUUUAUUGAAGAGCAAAACGCCAGAUAGAUGCAUACGGUUCCUCGCACAUGUCAACUCUUUCUAUCAACUAUUGUGAUUUUGUGCUCCUCAGUCGUUUUUAAACUUAUUAUAUAAGUUGUUACCGUAUCUGAAGUCUUUUAAUAAAUCAUAACCAGUAACUUGAUACCUUUACAUAAAUUUACUAUAUGUCAAUAGGGAGUGAUUCGGAAGCAAAUUAUAAAAACUGAAUAAAUUGGAGGCGUAUGAAUUUUUAAUUAAUAAACAUGAUACCUAAACGGACAGGAUGCCGAAAAGAGGCAUCUCGAAAACUUCUGCAGAAAAAAAACCACGCAAAAUAGCUUCUCUUAACAACUGGUGUAUCCUAUAAUUGUCGCUGCUUUGGAAGGAAAUACGUACAAUUCUUCUGGAAGGUGAUAUUAACGGCAAAAUUAUUUUUUGCUAGCUUCAAUAAAAUUGAAAGGCGGAUUCAAAAAACUCAAUGACUCUACACUUCUCGGCCACGCACUAUAAUGAAGCAUUUAGUAGGUCUUAGUUAUCUUUUUAGUCGAU